UCGGGAAUAUUGCGCAAUGGAGGAAACUCUGACGCAGUGACGCCGCGUGCAGGAAGAAGGUUUCGGAUUGUAAACUGCUUUAGACAGGGAAGAUAGCAGACAGUACCUGUAGAAUAAGCUCCGGCUAACUACGUGCC
rnacentral:rRNA from 1 species